CAGCCGCCGCGGGAAUACGUAGGGUGCGAGCGUUAAUCGGAAUUACUGGGCGUAAAGCGUGCGCAGGCGGUUCUAUAAGACAGAUGUGAAAUCCCCGGGCUCAACCUGGGAACUGCAUUUGUGACUGUAGAGCUGGAGUGCGGCAGAGGGGGAUGGAAUUCCGCGUGUAGCAGUGAAAUGCGUAGAUAUGCGGAGGAACACCGAUGGCGAAGGCAAUCCCCUGGGCCUGCACUGACGCUCAUGCACGAAAGCGUGGGGAGCAAACAGGAUUAGAUACCCCUGUAGUCCCUGUCUCUUAUAC
rnacentral:rRNA from 1 species